UGCCAGACUCCUACGGGAGGCAGCAGUGAGGAAUAUUGGUCAAUGGUCGGGAGACUGAACCAGCCAAGCCGCGUGAGGGAGGAAGGUACAGAGUAUCGUAAACCUCUUUUGUCAGGGAACAAAGACUGGGACGCGUCCCCGGAUGAGUGUACCUGAAGAAAAAGCAUCGGCUAACUCCGUGCCAGCAGCCGCGGUAAUACGGAGGAUGCGAGCGUUAUCCGGAUUUAUUGGGUUUAAAGGGUGCGCAGGCGGUUCUCUCGGGCGGGGCACACCCCCGGGGCCCCCCCCCCGCCCCGCCGUUGAAACUGGCAGUCUCGAGUUGGAGAGAAGUAUGCGGAAUGCGCGGUGUAGCGGUGAAAUGCAUAGAUAUCGCGCAGAACUCCGAUUGCGAAGGCAGCAUGCCGGCUCCACACUGACGCUGAGGCACGAAAGCGUGGGUAUCGAACAGGAUUAGAUCCCCUGGUA
rnacentral:rRNA from 1 species